rnacentral:rRNA from 1 species
UACAGAGGGUGCAAGCGUUGUUCGGAAUUAUUGGGCGUAAAGGGCGCGUAGGCGGUGCGGUAAGUCUGUAGUGAAAUCUCUGGGCUCAACUCAGAGUCUGCUGCAGAAACUGCCGUGCUUGAGUGUGGGAGAGGUGAGUGGAAUUCCCGGUGUAGCGGUGAAAUGCGUAGAUAUCGGGAGGAACGCCUGUGGCGAAAGCGGCUCACUGGACCACAACUGACGCUGAGGCGCGAAAGCUAGGGGAGCAAACAGG